UUCCCUUCCUGCUGGAAGCAUGAGGGAAUUGUUCCCCACUAUUCACUGCGAGAACCUGGUGAAACUGCAGGAGGUAAAUCUCACAAAUGUGUGCUCUCAUACCUCGCCAAAACUUGCCGCCCCCAUCCCAGAGAUUUUAAUUCUCAGAGUUGUCCACACGGAGAAUCCAGAAAUUUGCCAGUUGUAGUUCAGGUUUCUUUACUCUGACACUUGUUCCCAUGGAGGCUUUAGCUUCUGGAUUUCUGCUCAGGUGGCAUAUUUUCGUAUUAGACUUAUUUAGGUGGGACACCACCUCUGAAAAUAUCCUGGAAACCUCCUUUCAUAGUCUUGGUAGGAGGGCUGAAGCUACAUUCUUCAGGUUCAGAUCCUGAUCCUCACUUGGCCUUAUGAUCUGUGGUGAAGAUACACUGCACAGGGAGUAUGAUUGGUUCCUGGCAGGAAGAAGGCAUUUCAUCCAUUAUAACCAGAGAUAGGAAGGAAAACACAGAAGAUACAGGUGAGUUGGAGAUUCGAUGUCAAGAAGGUGAGAAAGCUCUUAGCUGACGGCAUAUUCUUUUAUGUGAACCAUAAAAUAAGAUCAUAUGUUAAAGAUCAGGUUGGGGAAGGGCAGCUUUAGGAAGGGUAAACACGAAGUUGUUUUAGAGGCUAGAAAAAUGAGGACAAAAUAAGACUUCUAAAACUUUGGUCCAUAUUAGUAUUUAUAAAGGUAUAGUGUUAUCAACUUGCCAAUUAUGGGAUUCAUAGUGACAGUAGCCAUAUUUGUGUCAAAU